rnacentral:piRNA from 1 species
ACUUUUGUACCUCUGAAGAAGAUU